AUAGUGUAGUGGUUAUCACGUCUGCUUUACACGCAGAAGGUCCUGGGUUCGAGCCCCAGUGGAACCAUGAGAUGUUACCUAGCGUUUUGUGAGCCAGGUGUUGGGUUUUGCACCAGGAAGCUGGCGACGAACCCGUGUCUCAAGAAUUUCUACGGCUUGUUUCCCGCCUGCUGCAUCAGCCCGGUUUCUCUUAGCGCUCGGCGCUGAGUCGGCCUCCGCGGCGGCCCCCGUAUGGCGCCUCUCUGGAGGUGCAGGCGGCUCCGCUCCACCGAGGCUUCGCUCGCCCCUGCGCCUGCGCCUUUCCACUACCUGGCCAGCCGGCUUCUGGGUUCCUGGGUGUUGCCCCUUGGCUCACCUACCUUCUCCUAAGCCUUGCUUGGGCCAUCUCUAAAAAUUGCCACCACUAAGUCGAAGGACAUCACGAAGGCCGCC
rnacentral:lncRNA from 1 species